GCUGGCGGCACGCCUUAUACAUGCAAGUCGAACGCAGUAGCAAUACUGAGUGGCAAACGGGUGAGUAUAAUGUGGGUAUCUGCCUUUUGGUUUGGAAUAACACGAGGAAACUUGUGCUAAUACCGGAUAAGCCUUUACAGGGAAAGUUUUAUACGCCGAAAGAUGAGCCCGCACUUGAUUAGUUAGUUGGUGAGGUAAAAGCUCACCAAGACAAUGAUCAAUAGCUGGUCUGAGAGGACGAUCAGCCACAUUGGGACUGAGACACGGCCCAGACUCCUACGGGAGGCAGCAGUAAGGAAUCUUGCACAAUGGGGGAAACCCUGAUGCAGCGAUGCCGCGUGAGUGAAGAAGGCCCUUGGGUUGUAAAACUCUUUCGUCGGGGAAGAAAAUGACUGUACCCGAAUAAGAAGGUCCGGCUAACUUCGUGCCAGCAGCCGCGGUAAUACGAAGGGACCUAGCGUAGUUCGGAAUUACUGGGCUUAAAGAGCUCGUAGGUGGUUAAAAAAGUUGAUGGUGAAAUCCCAAGGCUCAACCUUGGAACUGCCAUCAAAACUUUUUAGCUAGAGUGUGAUAGAGGAAAGUGGAAUUUCUAGUGUAGAGGUGAAAUUCGUAGAUAUUAGAAAGAACACCAAAUGCGAAGGCAACUUUCUGGGUCACUACUGACACUGAGGAGCGAAAGCAUGGGUAGCGAAGAGGAUUAGAUACCCUCGUAGUCCAUGCCGUAAACGAUGUGUGCUAGACGUUGGAAAUAUAUUUUUCAGUGUCGCAGCGAAAGCAUUAAGCACACCGCCUGGGGAGUACGACC
rnacentral:rRNA from 1 species